rnacentral:misc_RNA from 1 species
UCUCCGUAGGUGAACCUGCGGAGGGAUCAUUACAGAGUUCAUGCCCUACCGGGUAGAUCUCCCACCCUAUGUUAUUAUUACUUUGUUGCUUUGGCGGGCCGUUAGGCUCCGGCCCGACUACCGGCCCCGGCUGGUAAGCGCCCGCCAGAGGACCCAAAACCCUGAAUAUUAGUGUCGUCUGAGUACUAUAUAAUAGUAAAAACUCUCAACAACGGAUCUCUUGGUUCUGGCAUCUAUGAAGAACGCAGC